UCCUACGGGAGGCAGCAGUGGGGAAUAUUGCGCAAUGGGGGGAACCCUGACGCAGCCAUGCCGCGUGAAUGAAGAAGGCCUUAGGGUUGUAAAGUUCUUUCGGUGAUGAGGAAGGCGAUUAAUUGAAGAGAUUAAUUGAUUGACGAUAAUCACAGAAGAAGCACCGGCUAACUCCGUGCCAGCAGCCGCGGUAAUACGGAGGGUGCGAGCGUUAAUCGGAAUAACUGGGCGUAAAGGGCACGCAGGCGGAUUGUUAAGUGAGGUGUGAAAGCCCUGAGCUUAACUUAGGAAUAGCAUUUCAGACUGACAAUCUAGAGUAUUUUAGGGAGGGGUAGAAUUCCACGUGUAGCGGUGAAAUGCGUAGAGAUGUGGAGGAAUACCGAAGGCGAAGGCAGCCCCUUGGGGAGAUACUGACGCUCAAGUGCGAAAGCGUGGGGAGCAAACAGGAUUAGAUACCCUGGUAGUCC
rnacentral:rRNA from 1 species